UACCGUCAUGGCCAUGUCCUACCCGAUAGAAGGAAGACUAGUGUGAAUUAAGAGCAUCAGAGCUUCUUGGAUUCAAAGAGAAGUAUCUAGACCGGUGAUUGAAGGGUUGCCAAUAAGAGGUAGUUGAAGCCCAUAGAUUUGAACAGCGCAGUGGUCGCUUUCCUCGAACAUAUUUGAUAUGCUAGAAUAUAAUGGGAUCUAUGAUUUUUUUUAAAAAAAUUCUU
rnacentral:lncRNA from 1 species